GAAUGGCCAAGCAGACAUUAAGCCCAUGUCCACCAGCUAACAGCAAAGUGAUGUAAGUCUGAGGCCCACAUUCCCUCCAAGAGGCUGGCUGCAGAUUCAGAGCUGCCUCUCCAAAGCCUCUGUGACCAGGUGACACAAGCACACCUGUCCUUGUCCCGUUGUGUCAGCACCAGUGGAGGAGCUUCUACAACUGACGUCAGGAGAGGUCUAACUAUCUGUAUACUGUUUACAGAGUGAAAGACGGGCACAUCACACGGAUCCGUCCCCAGGUGACUUCAGCCAUGCCCAGUUCAGCUGGACGUCAUCAUGCUUCUGCCACCUCUCAUACUGUCCUCUCCAGGUCUUCCCUCGUCUUCGUCCUGGCUGUGGCUGCAGCUUGGUGGCUGAUGGUCGUCUCUGUGCUGCUGUGGCCCCAAGGUGUCAUAUUUUACCCUUCACUACAACACAUCCUCCCCCAAGUUAUAUUUUAUGGAACACGUAUUAUUUAGUCCAGAAGUUUACAUAUUUUUCAGAUAAUUUGAUCUAAAAAUGAACUUCAAGCAAAUCCUUGUCUUAUGUUGAUCUUUGUGGUAAAAAUGAGGUUCACUGAAGUUUUUCAAUAUUGACACAAAUAUUGUCUGCACUGAAUAGUUUAUGAUAUUUGUCAAAUAAGUUCUGGCUUGACUAGGAAUAUCCGUAUAUAGUUUGUGGAAUCCAUACAGAGUAAAACACUGCCUAGUGAACACAGAAAACUCAGGGUGAUCUCCUCACAGCUCCUUUUUCUUAUUGAGUAAUCUGGAUGUCCAAAACCAGGAAGAUAUAUAAAAUAAAGCGAAACUAAAAUCUUUGUUAGCUAGACAUCUGCUAGCACUAGCUGUGUUACCAUUAGCUUGUCAGCUUAAAUGUUUUAGCAGCUCAAAUAAGAGUUUAUACAGCGAUGUUACACUCUAUAUAGAUAAUUGUCAUUAUGUGCACUGAGUGGUGACAAAAAUUAGCUGUAGAUUAACUCUGAAGUGUCAUCAGUCCCUCUACAGGAUUAUGAAUGGCAGAAAUGGUGAAUAGCUAUGUUAAAUGCAGGUUUUCAUUCCAACCAAGGAGGAGCACACCAGGCUGGACUCAUUUAAUCAGCUGAUCUCAGUCUUCAGCUGAUAGUUAGGUGACCGCCUGCUUUAGUCCAACUUAAAUCAUGGCAUGUCUCCAGGAUAUAACAAGUUGCCUUGCCAUCAGUUUAAAGAGGUGUUGUUUUUUCUCUGUAGCUCACAGAUCUUCACUCCCGCCAUUUUUUUUCUUUCUUUUUCAACUCAUUACUUUAUAAAGCAAGUUCAGUCAAUUUGACACAUUUUUCAAGUCCCCAAGAAAGUGACCUCGGGUGCCCACUUUACUCGGGGAUCAGGCUCCCUCCACCAUCUGCAGGUGCUGCAAAGCAGCGCUGCUCAAUCCUUUACAGCAACAAAGAGGCAUGAUCACAUGACCUCUCUGCUUUCCUCCACUGGCUCCCUGAUAGACUUUGAAAUGGUUUAAAAAAUUGUAUUUCCUACAUUUAAGGUCUUUUAAAUCUCAUCUUGAAACUUUCCUUUUUGUGGAAGCUUUUGGAAAUGUUUGAUCCAUUUCUGCCUUAUCUGGUUUUAUUCUGAGUUUGAUUUUGUAAAGCUUUUUGUAACAUUGUUAUGAAAGGUGCUAUAUAAAUAAAGUUUAUUAUUAUUAUUAUUAUACAUGCAUUGUUUCUGUAGUGUUGAAGUCGGUGUCAUACGCCAACAACUCUGGCAUCUUAAAUCUCCUGGACUUCUGGCUGAAAGGCAACUCUUUGCUAACAUCUUCACCUUCUCAGCUUGUUGACGAGAUGAUAUUAUGUUUACUUUUUUGCACCUUCCACUCUUUCUGAAUUCUGGAACCUAAGCAGUCAUGGACGGCUCCACACUGGGGCUAGAGGGUGCUAUAGCCCCGUCAAAAAAUCUGUUUAGCCCCAGUUAAGCCCCUCCAGAAUUUUAUUUCAUAUUAUAAUACAUGUAUAUUAAGUUAAAAAACAAUUUCAAUAAUUUCAUUGUAUAUUUUAAUAUUUUUUUUGUUUAAAAAUAAACAUUAAAAAGUUCACGAGUUCCAAUCCAUCCCCGCUUGCCU